CAAAACAAUCUUCCAUAUGUUUCAAAAAAUGUAAAUAUUUUUUAUUUGUCCAUAAUCCGGCACAUACGAAGAAAAAAAAAUAUCGCUUCCAUUCUUCCUCUUUCCAGUUACAUCUCUAUGUAUCGAUCUAGCAAAACAAUCUUCCUCCUGUUUCGAAAAAUGUAAAUAUUUCUUAUUUGUCCAUAACCCGCCAUAGCAUUCUUCCAUUCUUCCUCUUUCCAGCUGCAUCUCUAUGUAUCGAUCUAGGAUCAUCUAGCUCAGACGAUCAGAUCCUAAUGAAGAGAAAAAAAAAUUGCAGAGAAAGUUGAUGAAGGUUGGUUAUUCGAUUGUAAAAUAUACGUGAGAAACUUUUUGGGUUUUACAUAUUGUAACUCCCCAGAUUGUUGAAGGAUGACAUUUUUGUUUUUGUUUGAAGAUAUGGUUGAAAGUUAUUGUAACAUUUAUUUUAUCAGUUUAUUUUUUUGAGAUUGGUACCAUUUAAUGGAUGUAACAUUUAAUUAAAGAGGAAAAAAUUGAUAGGGUUAAAAGGGGGCUACAA